AAUCAACGCUGGCGGCGUGCCUCAGACAUGCAAGUCGAACGAUUAAAGCUCUCUUCGGAGAGUGCAUAGAGUGGCGCACGGGUGAGUAACACGUAAGUAAUCUACCUUCGAGUGGGGAAUAACGUCCGGAAACGGACGCUAAUACCGCAUAAUGCAGCGGCAUCGUAAGAUGACAGCUGUUAAAGAUUUAUCGCUUGAAGAGGAGCUUGCGGCAGAUUAGCUAGUUGGUAAGGUAAUGGCUUACCAAGGCUACGAUCUGUAACCGGUCUUAGAGGACGGUCGGUCACACUGACACUGAAUAACGGGUCAGACUCCUACGGGAGGCAGCAGUCGGGAAUUUUGGGCAAUGGGCGAAAGCCUGACCCAGCAACGCCGCGUGAAGGAUGAAGUAUUUCGGUAUGUAAACUUCGAAAGAAUAGGAAGAAUAAAUGACGGUACCAUUUAUAAGCUCCGGCUAACUACGUGCCAGCAGCCGCGGUAAU
rnacentral:rRNA from 1 species